GUACUGUUGAAGAGUCCCAAACAAGGACAAAACAGCUGUCCAGUAC
rfam:Trichobilharzia regenti genome assembly, scaffold: TRE_scaffold0099757